rnacentral:rRNA from 1 species
GUCGAGCCUGCCCGAUGAUUUUUUGAAUGGCCGCGGUAUUUUGACCGUGCAAAGGUAGCAUAAUCAUUAGUUUUUUAAUUGUGAACUAGAAUGAAUGGUUUAAUGAGAAAUUAACUGUCUUUUAUCAAUUUAUUGAAUUUUAUUUUUAAGUAAGAAAGCUUAAAUCUUAUUGGAAGACGAGAAGACCCUAUAGAGUUUUAUACAUUUAUUUUUAAAAUUUUUAUUUUUUAUGUUUUAAUGUAUUUUAUUGGGGUGAUGGGAAAAUUUGAUUAACUUUUUCUUUAUUUUUAUAUUUUUGUAUAAUUUUUUGAUCCAUUGUUUAUGAUUACAAGAUUAAAUUACCUUAGGGAUAACAGCGUUAUUUGUUUAGAGAGUUCAAAUCGAAAAAUAAGUUUGCGACCUCGAUGUUGGAUUAAAAUUUGUCUAUGGUGUAGAAGCUUUAGUGUUAGGUCUGUUCGACCUUUAUGUCUAUGGUGUAGAAGCUUUAGUGUUAGGUCUGUUCGACCUUUAUUUGUCUAUGGUGUAGAAGCUUUAGUGUUAGGUCUGUUCGACCUUUAUGUCUAUGGUGUAGAAGCUUUAGUGUUAGGUCUGUUCGACCUUUA